rnacentral:rRNA from 1 species
GAUGAACGCUGGCGGCGUGCCUAAUACAUGCAAGUCGAGCGAACAGACGAGGAGCUUUCUCCUCUGACGUUAGCGGCGGACGGGUGAGUAACACGUGGAUAACCUACCUAUAAGACUGGGAUAACUUCGGGAAACCGGAGCUAAUACCGGAUAAUAUAUUGAACCGCAUGGUUCAAUAGUGAAAGACGGUUUUGCUGUCACUUAUCGAUGGAUCCGCGCCGCAUUAGCUAGUUGGUAAGGUAACGGCUUACCAAGGCAACGAUGCGUAGCCGACCUGAGAGGAUGAUCAGCCACACUGGAACUGAGACACGGUCCAGACUCCUACGGGAGGCAGCAGUAGGGAAUUUUGGGCAAUGGGCGAAAGCUUGACGGAGCAACGCCGCGUGAGUGAAGAAGGUCUUCGGAUUGUAAAGCACUGUUAUUAGGGAAGAACAAAUUUGUAUGUAACCAUGCACGUCUUGACGGUACCGAAUCAGAAAGCAACGGCUAACUACGUG